GAUUCGUUAACAACAAUGCACUUUAUAAGUUUUAUUUUCGGUUCGAGUGUUGUAUAAGCGCUUGACAAGAAUAUGCUAAAUCGUAUAUGUAUAGAAGGGGAAUAUCAGACUACAUUCAGAAGUGAAAUCCUGAAUAAGCAAGCAAAAGGUAUCAGGUCAAAAUAGCAUAAUUAAGGUAGCAAAAUACAAAGAUUUUUCACUCCCAAUCAGACAGCUUUAAACUGAUGUAAUUCAUUUCAUCCUUCUUUAUAGGUUAAAAAUGAG
rnacentral:lncRNA from 1 species